CCCUUAGAUGUCCUGGGCCGCACGCGCGCUACACUGAUGCAUUCAACGAGUUUCUUCCUGGUCCGAGAGGAAUGGGUAACCUUUUGAAAGUGCAUCGUGAUAGGGAUAGACUAUUGCAAUUAUUGGUCUUCAACGAGGAAUUCCUAGUAGACGUAGUUCAUCAGACUGCAUCGAUUACGUCCCUGCCCUUUGUACACACCGCCCGUCGCUCCUACCGAUUGAAUGCUCAGGUGAGCCAUUCGGACCUUCAUCAUGCCGGUUUCCGGUUUUGAUGAGGGAAAGUCUUGCGAACCUUAUCAUUUAGAGGAAGGAGAAGUCGUAACA
rnacentral:rRNA from 1 species